UUUUUCAUGAUGAUUAUACGGGACAAAUGAAAAUCUCAAAUCCUAAAACUCUCAUCAAUCUGGUUCAAAGAAAAGUUGGUGUGGAAGUGUCUUACUCUACAAUUUUAAGAUGAAAAUACGAAGCAGUAUGGGUGUUGGCAUAUACAUAUAGUAGUAUUUCAAUUCCUCACAAAGAACAUAAUGCUCACAAGGAACACAAGAAUCACAAUGAAUAAUGUUUUAAUUUUUUUUAGGAUUGUAUAACUGAGUGAAACUUAGUAAAACUGAUAAAGUUCUAAAAAAUAGUAAUGAAUAUAAAAUUCAAAACUUGUUUGCUUGUUUACAAGUAUACACAUAUUAUUCUAAUAAUUCUAAAUAUAUUUGUGAUUUAAAUUCAAAACGAUAAUUAUAUUUAAAAUUUGUUUGAUUUUUUACAAGUAUUACCUUAUACUUUUAUGGAUUUUCUCUUAAUAUCUGUCUUAUAUAUUAUAAAUUUAUAUAUUUCAUGAAAUUAACUAUACUAUUACAUGGUUAGAUGAUAAAUGAUUAUAGAAAACUGAAUAUAAGUUGUAUAACCAUAAUAUAAUUCUCUUGACUACAACAUAUAAGAAAAAUGAAAGAAUGGAAAAAUGAAAAUUUGAAGAUAUAUUUGUAAAACUGCAAACUUGGUAAAAAUUAUUUCCGGCGUGGGCCGGGACGUGGGCCGGGAGAAUUGAAAAAUUGAACUGGGCCCAAAACAAAGAAUCCAAAGUAUGAGAUUCUCUCUCUCUCUCCCUCCUUUCAUUCAUCAUUCGCUCAGUUUCUAGGAUUCUCUUUCCAUCACUUUGUCCUCUCACAUCACGAGAUCUAACAAACAGCCCACACACCUUCGCGUCAUGGAUCCAUGGGAGGAGAAAAUGAACAAGAGGGAGAUGAAGAAGAUGAAGGAACACUUCGACAUGAUUGGGUACGCAGCCGAUGCCCAAUUCGGGAUUCCAAGCCGUUUCCCGUAGGGGUGAUGAAUCAUCGACGAGAUAAAUCAGGGACUGACUUUGAUUCAUUUUAAAUUUUGAUCCUUAAGAGAGGAAAUAUCAGGGACUGACUUCGAUUCAUUUUAGAUUUUGAAUCUUAAGUGCGGAUAUAAUAGAUAUUUUUUACGUGCAUAACAAUGGCCGCCACUUUCGUCAACCAUGGGUUUUCGGUAUCCAAGAAGAGGGUCAGCGGUUAAGGAAGCAGAGAUUGAAAAGCUUAAGAAGCUUAUGUCCUGUCGUCCAAGAGAUCGUAGAUAACGACUUGAAUGAGUUUUUGUUUUGUGUUUGUUUUGAAUCUGUUUGUGUUGUUUAGACUUGUCAAUGGUUAGCUAGUUUAACCAUCUAUAAUAUGUCAAUGGUUAGCUAGUUUAACCAUUUAUAAUAUUGUUAUAGUUAAGACUGGUCUAUGGCCAACUUGUUUAACCACUAUGGCAAAUUAAUUUAAUUUUUAUAUUCUUA